AUACCUUUCUCGGCCUUUUGGCUAAGAUCAAGUGUAGUAUCUGUUCUUAUCAGUUUAAUAUCUGAUAUGUGAGUCAUCGACUCACACGAUAUUAACUCUAUUUUUUGAGGGGGAAGGUCCACCACGGUAGCUUGCUAUCGAGACCUUCAAGUCUCGCCUAGGUGUUGCACUACUGCCUUGGCCUGGCACACCCCAC
rnacentral:snRNA from 1 species